rnacentral:rRNA from 1 species
GCAGGCUGCAACUCGCCUGCAUGAAGCUGGAAUUGCUAGUAAUCGCGGAUCAGCAAGCCGCGGUGAAUACGUUCCCGGGCCUUGUACAUACCGCCCGUCACACCAUGAGAGUCGGGAACACCCGAAGUCCGUAGUCUAACCGCAAGGGGGGCGCGGCCGAAGGUGGGUCCGGUAAUUGGGGUGAAGUCGUAACAAGGUACC